rnacentral:rRNA from 1 species
AUGCUGUCCAACAACAGCUUCUCCGGCGAGUUCCCAGCAAAGAUAUGGUCAUUUCCGAUGUUGACCAAUGUGAGCAUACAUAACAAUGGUUUCACCGGGUCCUUACCGGCCAGUAUAUGUGAGAACAUCUCGUGGAUUGAGAUGGGCAACAACAAGUUCUCCUGCUCCUUGCCAACUUCAGCACCCGGGUUAAACGUGUUCAAGGCAGAGAACAACCUGCUCUCCGGCGAGCUGCCGGCCGACAUGAGCAAGUUUCCCAACCUUAGGAAGUUGUGGAUGUCCGGUAACCAACUAAAUGGGCCCAUACCAAAAUCAGUCAAUUUGUUGCAGAAGCUCAGCAGUCUUGACCUGAGCAACAACAGGUUGUCUGGCGCGAUUCCAUUUGACAGCAUCGCGUUGCUUCCUGCGCUGUAUCUCCUGGAUUUGUCCGGGAAUGAAUUCACUGGUGGCUUAUCUUAG